rnacentral:rRNA from 1 species
AUUGAACGCUGGCGGCAUGCUUUACACAUGCAAGUCGAACGGUAACAGCACUUCGGUGGCUGACGAGUGGCGAACGGGUGAGUAAUACAUCGGAACGUGCCUAGUAGUGGGGGAUAACUACUCGAAAGAGUAGCUAAUACCGCAUGAGAUCUAAGGAUGAAAGCAGGGGACCUUCGGGCCUUGCGCUACUAGAGCGGCUGAUGGCAGAUUAGGUAGUUGGUGGGAUAAAAGCUUACCAAGCCGACGAUCUGUAGCUGGUCUGAGAGGACGACCAGCCACACUGGGACUGAGGCACGGCCCAGACUCCUACGGGAGGCAGCAGUGGGGAAUUUUGGACAAUGGGCGCAAGCCUGAUCCAGCAAUGCCGCGUGCAGGAUGAAGGCCUUCGGGUUGUAAACUGCUUUUGUACGGAACGAAAAGCCCUCUUCUAAUACAGGAGGGUCAUGACGGUACCGUAAGAAUAAGCACCGGCUAACUACGU